rnacentral:rRNA from 1 species
GACGUAGGGCGCGAGCGUUGUCCGGAAUUACUGGGCGUAAAGCGUGCGCAGGCGGCGCGUUAAGACAGGUGUGAAAGCCCCGAGCUUAACUUGGGAAUUGCGCUUGUGACUGGCGUGCUGGAGUGUGGCAGAGGGAGGUGGAAUUCCACGUGUAGCAGUGAAAUGCGUAGAGAUGUGGAGGAACACCGAUGGCGAAGGCAGCCCCCUGGGCUAACACUGACGCUCAUGCACGAAAGCGUGGGGAGCAAACAGG